rnacentral:rRNA from 1 species
AGCAGCCGCGGUAAUUCCAGCUCCAAUAGCGUAUAUUAAAGUUGUUGCAGUUAAAAAGCUCGUAGUUGAAUUUCGGGGUCAGUAGGUUGGUCGUGCCACUGGUAUGUACUGGCCUCACUGAUUCCUCCUUCUUGUAGAACCGUAAUGCCAUUAAUUUGGUGUUGCGAGGAAACAGGACUGUUACUUUGAAAAAAUUAGAGUGUUUAAAGCAGGCUAACGCUUGAAUACAUUAGCAUGGAAUAAUGAAAUAGGACGUUCGAUCCUAUUUUGUUGGUUUCUAGGAUUGACGUAAUGAUUAAUAGGGAUAGGUUGGGGGCAUUAGUAUUCAAUUGUCAGAGGUGAAAUUCUUGGAUUUAUUGAAGACUAACUACUGCGAAAGCAUUUGCCAAGGAUGUUUUCAUUAAUCAAGAACGAAAGUUAGGGGAUCGAAGACGAUCAGAUACCGUCGUAGCCUUAACCAUAAACUAUGCCGACUAGGGAUCGGAUGAUGUUAAUUUUUUAAUGACUCAUUCGGCGCCUU